CCUACGGGCGGCAGCAGUAGGGAAUAUUGCUCAAUGGGGGAAACCCUGAAGCAGCAACGCCGCGUGGAGGAUGAAGGUUUUAGGAUUGUUAACUCCUUUUGUUAGAGAAGAUAAUGACGGUAUCUAACGACUACUUACCGGCUAACUCCGUUCCAGCAGCCGCGGUAAUACGGCGGGUGCAAGCGUUACUCGGAAUCACUGGGCGUAAAGCGGGCGUAGGCGGGAUAGCAAGUCAGAUGUGAAAUGCUAUGGCUUAACCAUAGAACUGCAUUUGAAACUGUUAGUCUAGAGUAUGGGUGGGGUAGGUGGAAUUUUUGGUGUAGGGGUAAAAUCCGUAGAGAGCAAGAGGAAUACUGAUUGCGAAGGCGACCUACUAGAACAUAACUGACGCUGAGGCGCGAAAGCGUGGGGAGCAAACAGGAUUAGAUACCCCGGUAGUC
rnacentral:rRNA from 1 species